rnacentral:rRNA from 1 species
GAUGAACGCUGGCGGCGUGCCUAAUACAUGCAAGUCGAGCGAACAGACGAGGAGCUUGCUCCUCUGACGUUAGCGGCGGACGGGUGAGUAACACGUGGAUAACCUACCUAUAAGACUGGGAUAACUUCGGGAAACCGGAGCUAAUACCGGAUAAUAUAUUGAACCGCAUGGUUCAAUAGUGAAAGACGGUUUUGCUGUCACUUAUAGAUGGAUCCGCGCCGCAUUAGCUAGUUGGUACGGUAACGGCUUACCAAGGCAACGAUGCGUAGCCGACCUGAGAGGGUGAUAGGCCACACGGGAACGGAGACACGGUCCAGACUCCUACGGGAGGCAGCAGUAGGGAAUCUUCCGCAAUGGGCGAAAGCCUGACGGAGCAACGCCGCGUGAGUGAUGAAGGUCUUCGGAUCGUAAAACUCUGUUAUUAGGGAAGAACAAAUGUGUAAGUAACUAUGCACGUCUUGACGGUACCUAAUCAGAAAGCCACGGCUAACUACGUG